AAAGUUUGGCAUAGAAUUCAAUGC
rnacentral:miRNA from 1 species